UCUCCUUUACGUUCCGCCCAGGUGCCUCUCGACAGCCACUCGGAAAACUAGAAGCUGCAGUUUUUGGAGGGGAAACUGCUCGUCGUCUAGAUGCAAUAAUUCCUCCUGCGCGCCCUGCAAAUUUACUGACUGUAUGUGUGGAAGGUAUUUU
rnacentral:lncRNA from 1 species